GUGUUCCUCAGGGUUGGGGAUAACCUUUCAUGUACUUCCUCAAGACACAGUAUUACUGGAUAUAUUUGAUUUACACAUAAACUAGGACACUCCAUGCUUUCCAGAAACACAAGUGAAGUUUAAUAGAGAUAAAACCAUUCCACUGGUGCUGCUAUGAUCAAGAAGCUACAAUCAAUCUUGUUUUCUUCAAGCAUGUCAUAAAAAGACCCUUUUCCUUCUGAUUAGCAUUCUUGAACACAGUACAAGCUGAUGACUUGCUUGAAGUCAUUCACUGUAGGGAUACAGCACCUACUGCACGUGAUAAAACGACAUAAGGCAUAUGAACUGCUCAUUACAAUCUAAUUAGUUUGGGCUUCUCAUUUCAUUUUAUGUCCUGAAUUGAACCUGAUUCAAUAUGAUUCUGCGCUGGAGUUCAUCAUAUCUUCUCCCUGGCAUGCAAGUUCAUGAUGCCUGCUUGCUAGAUUCCAUGGUUAUAGAAAUGGUUUCUCUUUUUUUUUCAGGGACUGGUUAGAUAGAAGGUCAUUAAUAAAACAUCAGAAGCCUUUCCUAUUAUUUUUUUCCUCUGCGAGAUUUUGAUUUGACUUAGCACACAGCACCGUUUUUAAAGUAUUUCAAGAAGGU
rnacentral:lncRNA from 1 species